UACAGAGGUCUCAAGCGUUGUUCGGAUUCAUUGGGCGUAAAGGGUGCGUAGGUGGCGGGGUAAGUCAGGUGUGAAAUUUCGGAGCUUAACUCCGAAACUGCAUUUGAUACUGCCUUGCUUGAGGACUGGAGAGGAGACUGGAAUUCACGGUGUAGCAGUGAAAUGCGUAGAGAUCGUGAGGAAGACCAGUGGCGAAGGCGGGUCUCGUGGACAGUUCCUGACACUGAGGCAGCGAAGGCCAGGGGAGCAAACGGG
rnacentral:rRNA from 1 species